CCUAUCGCUAGCCACUCUGGGCGUAGACUUGGUCGUACGAAUCGUAGCUCAGUCUACGGCUAAAUUCGCAAAAAUAAAUUAAACUUCACAACAAAUAGCAAGUCGCAAUAACGAUUAAUAAAUUUAAAGACAACAAAUAUACCGAAAAGAUAACCAAAAGAUAUGAUCAACCCUAAGACUCUAGAGUUGUAGUUUUGCUCCCGUCGAGGAGACGGAGCAACUUCUUUCCCAUACCAAAGAUGUAACAAUGAAUGGGGUGAAAUUGUUUAAAAAUGACUACUAAUCUAUGAAGGCCGUAGCGACAUGAUAGAUUUAGAUCUGUGGUGGGUACUUAGAACCUCUUGUGGCUGGGUUCUAUCAACUACCUAGGACUCUGCUUAUAGACCCUAAUGCGUGGUUGAACUCUAGCCGUGAUGACCGAGCAACUUUUUUGGACCCAUAUCUUGGUCGAAGGGGCCAGAUUGGGCUGAAAUUUUGAUCUAUCAAGGCGAUAGCGACAAAAUAGAUUUAUAAUGUGGGGUGCUAGCUAGAGUCGUAGGUAGAUGAUAAAUUUAAAUUUUAUUUAAAGAUGCAAAUUACAACAGUAAGAUUUGUAAUUUUUAAACUAACACAUAGACUAAGAGGCUCUAAUGCGCUUGAUACUAAGCGCGAUGUUGCUGCACGUUGUCCAUGUGCCAGGUGCAAGGACUUUUGGGUGACAGCUUAUUCCUAUUCCUCUUAGUUAUGCUAGCCUUUUUGUUGGUCUACCACCGCAUAGCGUAUGGAUGGUUUUCCUUGUUAUCCUCGCCAUUGUCACUGUCUGGUGAGGGAGAGCGUGGGCGCUUCCCAUUCACGUCAGACUUGCAAUUGUUUCGAUCCCGGGAUCUUUUGACCAGAUUAUCAAGCUCGCCGUUCGAAAUUAAUUGCUCGACAUAAAGCGAGAAUUCCCUGCAAUAAUCUGUCGGAUGCCCGUGGUCCUUGUGGAAUUCACAGAAUUUUCCACUUUCCCGGCGGCGAUCCUUGGUUGUAGGGUCUAUAGAUCGAGGAGCGGGCAGAUCCGCUCUGUACCUCAGUUUUUCAAACAGCUCGCCUCUGCUGAUUGUUAGUGGGGUCCAGUUCCUCCGAGGUGGACCCCCUGGCGAUCGUUUGACGGAUGUUUGAUACACUUUGUUAUCAUGUUUGGCCUUCCUUCUGAAGGAGCCAGCCACAUGGCUAGUGUAUCUGUUCGAGGAGUCAUUGCUGACUCCUAAGGACUUGAUCGGACUGCUGAUGGCUAGAGUGUCAGCCAGCUUCCGACGGAGGUCCUCUACGAGUCGUGUUGUAAGAGUCCUAUUAGUGCGACUCUUACUGGGUCCAGCUCUUGGCUCUGGACCUUUCUUUUUCCUCGUAGUUGGAUAAUUGCGAGAAGUCGAUUCACACGCUCUUUUGCGGGUGAUUGUUGUCUGACUCCUUGCUUUUUCAAGGUUGCUAACUCUUCUUUCAAUAUUAUCCAUGAAGUUAGCCAACCUUGUUUCUAGGUUACGAGAGAUGGAUGUCCGAGGGGGCAUAUCAGUUUGGGCGUCCUCGAACCUUUCAACUUGUAUGUUUAGUUGAGGAUGCUCAAUUUGUGCCCCGUCGGGUACCCCUGAGGGUUUACCCUCGUAAGCACGCUUUUCAGAUGUCAUUGAUGACAAAAGCGAAUGCCAACCUGAGCGUAGGUAUUGAUUGGACUAACUCAAAAGAAACCCAGUGGAGUCGGCGACUCAGUAGGUGGAGUCGGCGACUGCCUUAGGUUUUCUUGAUUUUUGAGCUGAGCAGAGGCUCGAGAAAAAACCAAGUGGAGUCGGUGAUUCACUAUGGGAGUCGGCGAUUCACAAAGGUGGAAUCGGCGAACGACACUAGUGGAAUCGGUGACUGCUUUAGGUAGUUUUUCCUUCGAGUCUGGCCGUGGACAGCACUCUUAGCUAGCAGAAUAACCCACAAUCGGCGACUCACUAGGUGGAGUCGGCGAUUGCCUGUGUGAAUCGGAAGUUCCUUGACACAAAGUUAGCGACUCACCCGAAGGGAAUCGAGCUAAGCUUUGCGAAGAAAAUUUCGAGAUUACGACGGGAUAUCGUGGUUCGAUUUCCCACAGACGGUGCCAGCUGAUGAAGCACGGAAUCUGCUACCAGUAGGCUCGCGGGGUUGCGAGGAGGGCCGGAGGCUUUGGAGUCCACGACGCACGCUCUACGUCAAUAUACCUGCAGAAGAGGAGGGGAAUCGGCGACUCCCUUGGGAGUAGGCGAUUCGGGCUCCUUAGUUUACUCUGGUUGGGGUGUGUCAAGUGUCAAAUGAGUUGAGGGGAGAGGUCCCCCAAGGACCCCUUUUAUAGGGUCUUGGGGGACGUUUCCCCAUUCAUUAGCGUGGGACCCACCCCAUUAAGGUAUCCUAUUAAGGAAUGCCUUAAUGGGGAGGGUCCGCUCAAGUAACGGCUGGGAGUCGGCGAUUCAGGUGUGGGAAUCGCCGACCCAGAGGUUCAAUCGCCGACUCCCCAUGAGCCUAGUGGAAGCCUACCAGAACUGUCCACGAGGCCUAGAGUCAGCGAUUCACCCCUGGAGUCGGCGACUUGGUAGUCCCAAUCGGCGACUCCCAGGCGCUGCCUUGAGUACUUGACGUAGACACUCCUUCCGGAUUCGUGGAACUCUCCGGGGGUCCGGCAGCAAGUGACGGAACCCUAGUUCUUGUCGAAGGGCGUUGCUGGGAGUGACUGACGUGUUCAGGCAUGUCUCACCACUAUCAGAGUCUGAUUCUUGACCAAGGCUACAGAUCCACUAUCAGAAUCCGAUUCUCGCCUCAGAUAUAGAACCUGCUAACUCACUAUCAGAGUCUGGUUCACUAUUAGAACCUGGUUCACUGACUCACUAUCAGAGUCUAAUUCUGACCAAGGCUACAGAUCCACUAUCAGAAUCCGAUUCUUGCCUCGGAUACAGAACCUGCUGACUCACUAUCAGAGUCUGGUUCACUAUUAGAACCUUUCCUGCAAAAAAUAAAACAUCCUGCAAAACAACUAGAUCAGUCCGAAAACGCAUAUAUUUAUUAUUGAACUUACCGUGUGAUCUACCUUUCGUGAUGUCCCUCCUUUGCUCAAAUUUGUCCUCGGUAAAUCUGGCCGACGCGACAGAUUUUACCGUGCUCAACUUUUUUGACGACUUCUGGCCGGAGCGACAGAAGUGUCGGGAGAGCUUGUGAUGCUCCCCCCGAAUUUCGACGACUUUUGGCCGACGCGACAGAAGUGUCGGGAGAGCUUGUGAUGCUCCCCCCGAAUUUCGACGACUUCUGGCCGACGCGACAGAAGUGUCGGGAGAGCUUGUCAUACUUCCCCAUUGAAAUGUGAUGACUUCUAUUGACAGAAGUGUCGGGAGAGUUUGUGAUACUCCCCCUUGAAAUUUGACGACUUCUAUCCAAAUAGACAGAAGUGUCGGGAGAGCUUGUGAUACUCCCCCUCGAAAUUUGACGACUUCUAUCCAAAUAGAUAGAAGUGUCGGGAGAGCUUGUGAUACUCCCCCUCGAAAUGUGACGACUUCUAUCCAAAUAGACAGAAGUGUCGGGAGAGCUUGAUGCUCCCCUCGAAAAUUGUGCCCUUGUGACACACAAACUUUUGCAACGAGUGUUUUUCGAAGUAUGCGACUAUCGACGAGCUAUCUAUUGUUUUUCCUUUGCUAAUCUUUCAUAUAAAUUACCCUUUAAAUUGUAACUAAGGCCCGAAACUAGAUUCACAAGUCGUAAUUUAGCCGCUCUGGACGUAAAUUAGACUCUACUAAUCCUAUGGCUAGCCACUCUGGGCGUAGGCUUGGUCGUACGAAUCGUAGCUCAGCCUAUGGUUAAAUUUACGGAUAAUUUAUACCUCCAGAUUAGCGUAGAGUUAUUAGAGAUAGAGCGGACGACGUAUCAGAAAUAUUCGACACUCGAGGGUUGCCUUGUAAUUUAGAACCCUAAUGAUGGAGAGAGCUUAUGAUACUCCCUUCUGAAGUGUGACGACUUCUGGCCGAAGCGUCAGAAGUGUCGGGAGAGUUUGUGAUACUCCCCCCUUGAAUUUCGACGACUUCUGGCCGACGCGACAGAAGUGUCGGGAGAGCUUGUGAUACUCCCCCUUGAAAACGUGCACUUGGGGAAGUUUUUAUUGUUAUUUUACCUGGAGUCGGCGACUGAGGCCACCAGUCGGCGACACCUAUGGUCUGGGUAACUGCAGGGGGCAUAUUUGUUUUUACCCCUGUGAGUCGGCGACUCCCUCUGUAAGUCGGCGACUCCUAACGUAACCGUCGGAUCUUUUUGGGAGAUCCUUGGGAUAUUUGAAGAAUAUACGGGGAAUAUUUGUAAAAUCUCCAAAUAAGGAAAUGUAUCUCACAGUGCUGUGAGAUUUUGUUUGGAGUCGGCGACUGCCCUGUGGAGUCGGCGACAGUGGCGUGAUUCGGGGGAUUUAGAGAUCGAUUCUUGAUCUCAAAUUUUGUAAAUUUUGGGUUUUCUAGGGUUUUUUGCAAUUUUCCCAGGGGCUAUAAAUAGUGGAGAGUUUUUCCCCAAAACUACAUAACACUUUUUUGCCUCUUCAAUCGCCUAAAACCCUAGAUUUUUGAGUCGCCGAUUCCCAAGUUUUCUUCCUUCGAAUCGACGAUUCCCAUCAUGACUUCCCCCGAUUCCCACUUGUCCCCUUUGAGAGAAGCUGAAACGUCAGCCUUUAUAGAGGAGAUGACCGCUGAGGGUCUCGAUGAGGUGUUGAACACCGUUGAGUCGCCGAUUCCCUCUCCUAACAGAGAGGUUGAGUCGGCGACUCCGGUCGUGCCACCUCUUAAUAUGGAUCUGAGUGCCUCUGUGCACGAGCUGCUUGGCGCUUCGCCAGUGUCGGCGACUCCCCUUAUGGAGUCGGCAACACAGUGCAAGGCCCUUGUAGUCGUGCGUGAGCCUCUCGAGCUGGGGGAGAUUCCCGAGCCUUCUGUGUCGGCGAUUCCCAUUGUGGAGUCGGCGACACAUGCUGGGCCCAUCAAGGCGAAAUCCUUUAAGCAGAGAGGGAAAGGCUCAGCUGCCAUUGAGUCGGCGACUGCUGGCCGUGACUCGCCGACUCCUCUCAUUGAAUCGGCGACUUGAGUGCUGGAGUCGGCGACUCCCAUGCAGAUAGAUGACUCUUCUGCGCGUCAUACCGCUCCGUUGGUUGUUAACGCAGAAGGUCAUAUUGUGUUGGGACUGAACCCGCACCAAGGGCCAUCUGUGGAUGGUCCUUCUCUGAAAAGAAAACGAAGACGCACCAUUGGUAAGGGCAAGGUACAUGUGCCCGUACAAGACGAGGGGGUCCCUCCGCCUCUCAACAUUAACUUUGACGAGGCACUAUUUGUGGACCGUGGUGCUUCCAAUCCACGUCGUAGAGCGAGCCGGCGCUCUGAAAGAACUCCGCCACCUCCCGUGGCCUUGGAUUCCAGUCGAGAUCCGGACCUCGACCUGAACACGUAUGUUGAAGCUGUGAACCCAUCUGGGUUCUCUCACAGUGAAGUUGUCGUGAAUGGCGAGCCAAGGUUGCUUCCAAUAGGCCGCUCCGGGGACGGCGAGUUCGAACAAGUUAUGACUCACGCAACCUUGGAUGGGUCUGACGGACUGAAUCCCCCUUCGACCCUUAACGCGAGCGACGCUCGAGGACUGCUCUUGGGGAAUCAACUUUCUGGGCAUUUGCGAUUCUGGAUAUCGCAUUACCGCCUGUAAAUCUACCACCCCCGGGAUUCCAGGCUAUCCCAUGGGUCUACUUCAAGCACUUCUCCGAGUUACCGAUUCCGAAGAUAAUCAGCGAAGUGCUUCUGAGUUUUGAAGUGUCCCUGUCGCAGCUCCCGGCGGGAUUCUUCGUGAUCCUACGGGGAUUUCUCAACAUCUGUUGGGGCCUUAACAUUACUGCGACUGCCAGCUUGUUCCUUCACUACUACAAGCUGACCAAAGAGAAGUCUGCAUCCGGUCACGUCGGAUUUACGCGACGUCAUUUCGAUAAAAACAUCGUCGAUGAAUUGCCGACGAACUUUGGAUGCAACUGGAAGAGAGAGUUUAUUUUUAUAACUUCUGUGUUUCUUCCCGGGAGUCGGAAAGCGUGGAAUGAUCCCCAUCGAGUGCACAUGAACGCUUCGAUUGGGUUGACUACGAGGGACAUUGAGGCCUCGGAUCGAAUAGCGCGGACUCUGACUGCAUAUUCCGUGCCGCGCGGUGUUCCCUUUGUCCUUUGCCAAAGGGAGGACUUCACUUUCGAGGAUGUGGAGGAAGCGCACCAACCAUUGACUGAGAAGGAGUUGGAGGGCGGGAAAAAGCGAUCGCUUUUAUACUAUGACGCCGCUCCUAUUUAUAUGCGCAAGAGGUUUCGAGAGGGCAAGCUCAUCAGACUGAGGAAGAAGAGCACGCGUGCCGAGCCUCGUCGGACCUUUGAGCAAGGGUCGAGCUCUCGCUCCGCACAGCCACCUGCUGGUUAUGUGCCUUACACAUCUGCUAGCGUGACACUUCCCGAUUUCAAUGCUGAUCCUGAAACUCGGAGGGAAGCGAUGUCACUCCUUAUGGGCCACCCUGGGUCGUGGUGUCGGAGCGAGCUGCUCAAGCAUAUAAAUGCUGCUUGCUAUAUGGCGCAUGCUUGUUACCACGCCGACUCGAUCCAUGAUAUCGAGAAAAUUCAAAAAAAAUACAAUCAACUCGACACGAAGUUCAUGGAGAGAAAGAAGGCCUUGGACAACCUACGCGACAACAUUCUGCCCAAAAAGGACAAGACUAUCGAGUCCAAGCAGAAGGAAAUCGAUGAAUAUGUCGCGAAGAUAUUGGGACUUCGCAAGGAUCUGAAGGUUGCUACUGCUGGCCAUGCUCAAGAGAUUGAAGACUUGAAGAGCCAGCUAGCUCGCGAGACAGGGCACGUAGCCUCGCUUGAGGCUACUAUAGCGGAGCUGAAGAAGCAAGCUGCCCAACAUCAAAGAAAAACAACCGGGCUGAAGAGUGAACUAGCGAGUGCGGAAGAAGAGAUUCUAGCUCUCAAGGAAGACAAUUCUACACUCUCCGGGAAAGCUAUUGGAUUGGAAUUGGACGUGCGAUACCAAGCCGAUCAGCUUCAAGAGCUCAUAUUCUUUGGUCCUUCCGUGUUUCCUGCUCUACCCCCCGACUACAUCACGGACAUAAUGGCAUGGGUAGAGCAGCAUCCCGAGGAACUGGAGAAGAACAAAGAUGCCCUAGACAAAAUGAAAGACGAAGCUGCCCAAGACUAGAUCUUCUUAGUCCUUAGAUAUUUUGUAUACUUGCUAUCAUUUUUUGUUUGUAACCUUUUUAUCGAACUUAAUGAAUUAAUCGUUUUUGUUUUCUUAUUAAUUGUUCAUUUACUUUGCUCUUUUGAAUUGUAACUAUGACCCGAAACUAGAUUCGCGAGUCGUAAUUUAGCCGCUCUGGACGUAAAUUAGAUUAACCCUAUCGCUAGCCACUCUAGGCGUAGACUUGGUCGUACGAAUCGUAGCUCAGUCUACGGUUAAAUUCGCGAAAAUAAAUUAAACUUUACAACUAAUAGAAACUCGUAAUAUCGAUUAAACUAAUAAGUUCGAAAAGCAACAAAAAAUAUCGAAAGUUAACCAAAGGAUAUUGAUAAACCUUAAGACUCUUGAAUUGUGUUCUAGGUUCCUUACUAUGUAGUUCAACUCCGGCCGAGGCGACGGAGUAACUUUUGACCCAUAUCAAGGUUGUAACAAUGAGAUGGGGUGAAAUCGUUUAAAAACAAUUACUAAUCUAUUAAGGCCGUAGCGACAUGAUAGAUUAUGGUAUGUGUGGUGGGUACUUAGAACCUCCUGUGGUUGGGUUCACUUGUACCUAUCAACUACCUAGGACUCUGCUUUUAGACCCUAAUGCGUGGUUGAACUUUGGCCGUGACGACAGAGCAACUUUUUGGACCCAUAUCUAGGUUGAUGUGACCAGAUUGGAUUGAAUCGUAAUGUAUUAAAGACGAUUUUAAUCUAUUAAGGCAAUAGCGACAAAAUAGAUUCAUAGUGUGGAGUGCUAGCUAGAGUCGUAGGUAGAUGAUAA
rnacentral:lncRNA from 1 species